CACACACAGUGCGCUGUUUGAUCUUCGUUUAUCUCUGACGGACCAUCUGCAAAGCUCUAUCUAGAACCAUGUCUGGAGUCAAGGGAGGACAACAGAAGAAAUGCCCGGAACCCUGCCCGGAGCCAUGCCCUCCACCCCAGCAGCAAUGCCAGGAUCCUUGCAAGCCUCAGUGCCCAGAACCCGUGCAAAAGUGCCCACCCCCACAAGAACCUUGCAAGCCAACCCCACAGUGCCCACAGGACCAGCAGGAAAAGUGCGUGAAGAAAUGAAAACCGCCAUCCGGAAAUCAGAUUUAUUAUAAGACUCACCCCGAGUGUAUAUUUAUAAAAUUCUGUUCAUCGAUGGGACUUUUAAAUUUGUGUUCCAAAUGAAUAAAAUAUGUUAAAUUUAAA